UAUUAAUGAAGGAGAUAUAAUAAUUGAUCUUAAAAUGGUGUCACAUAAUCGGAGGCCCCGACUGUUUACUAAAAACACAACACAGUGCAAUCAUUAAUAUGGUAGUAUACUGUGUGAAAUUUGCCCAAUGCCAUUAAUAUAAAAGCGGUCAUAGGAAACUGUGACUAAUUGAAAAUCUGGUUAAUAGCGGUCUUAACCAUGAGGAUCCUAAGGUAGCAAAAUAAAUUGGCCAUUAAAUGUGGUCCGGUAUCAAUAAUGUAACGAUGGCCUCACUGUCUCUACAACUUGCUCAGUGAAAUUGAAUU
rnacentral:rRNA from 1 species